rnacentral:lncRNA from 1 species
UUUUCAUUUCAAAUAUCUAUUAUUAUCAAUAUCAUAAAAAAAAUUGAUUAUAUUCAAAUUUAAUUGACAGAAAAACUAUGAAAAUAUAGUUCCAUCACAUCAUGUGUUGUAAUUAACCGAUGAAUUAUAACAAGUAGGAACGCGUGACGCGUGAAAUAUAAUAAGGUAGGGAUAAGCAGCAAACGAGGCGUUGAGCGUUCAAAUUCAUACCAGCAGGAAGACCGAGUAAUUAGGUGACCUGACUCUCAAAUGUCGAUGUCAUUAUCCGUGCGAAUCACAAUACAAAAGAAACAGAACGAAGAUACGCUCACUCAUAUUUAUAAUUAAUUCUCGCCCUUCUUUUUUGUUUUUUUUUUCUUUUUUUUCUCUUCUCUUUUCUUUUUCCUUUUUUUUUUUCUAUGUUUGGCGCAGCGUAAAUUGAGUCGGCGAAUUAACUAGACUGUCGUGUAAUUAAAGCAAUUUGUUGGAUAAGCGGUGAUGAGAAUUACGACAAGAUGACGGAUACGAUGGUUCUCACGCUAAUCGAUUUUGUCGAUAACGAUGAAUCAGCAAAGAAAAAGAAAGAAGAUUGAAAUGUGUGAAAUGCAUGGAUUGAGAUUGAAUAUAAAAAUUAGAAAAAUUUAUUUAAAAAAAUUUUAUUUUUCUAUCAUUUUUUGUUGAAACUCUUAUUAUUCACGAAGUGUUGCACAUUAUGUUAUUUACACUGGCUAAAGUUGUUCAUGAAGUAUUCGCUUUGUAGAUGCGUAUUAUACUGCGUUUACACUGACUAGAGAUUUUUGCGAGCUGCUUACGACCUCUUUGGAACUUGUUCAUAAACAGUAAAUUAUCGUAUUCAGACUAGACUUUGCAAACAGGGUCAGCUUUAGCCAGUGCAAAUUCAGUAUUAAAUUUGUUGAGAUCGUUAUUAUAUAUAAAUAACACGAAUAACAUAGUUAAUUGGUUCCGUGUUAUAAAUCAUAUGAUACGAGGAUCUCUGGAACAAUGGUGAAUGAUAUCGAUAGGAUGGUGAUCGGGAUUAAUGGCCCAUGUCUGUUGCGAGAUUUUCAUGAUACAAUGAAAAGUACGAGCACAACUUUCGGUGGAGCAAUAUGAAAAUGAUUUCAGAUGGAACAAGAAAGGUCUCUCCUGUUCCGGCUUCGAGGGCGGGUUUAUCGUACGCGAUCCCUGAUACGACGAUAACGAGGACGAGGCCUCAAAGGCAAAACGAGGAAAACAGAGGAAGAUGCUUAAUGGGGUGGAGCAGAGGAAUGGGCUCGGAGAGGCGUGGAACAUUUUGAACAAUGAGGAUCAAGCCAUACCAUAGGGAGAGAGAGAAUCGAGUCGAAGUUACUUCGUUGGCUGAAUGACAACGCCCAUUCCACCCUUCGACCUUAAAUUUGCUUGGUUAAUAAAGCGGCGCAUUCACCUUGCGAAGAACACGCAAAUUGAGACGUCUCACCUGAAUGGGAACCGCGGGACCAAGCCUCGAUCCAUUAUCGUGUGGAAUCGAGGAAGGGCGAAGGGUGGUUCAAUUUUACACAAGUGGACUGACGGGAAUUCGAUUUCACAACGGCUCGUCUUCCGCCUUGUCGCGUCAGGACUAUGUUUAGGAAUUGUUAAAAGGGGAAGUUGGCACUUUUCCCUCUUGUCGUUGCAUUUCGAAGAUCGAGAAGAAAUUCUCGAGAAAAAUGUAUGAGUCUAUGAGGAGCUUCUUUGAAUCUUAUGUAUAUAUAUACAGGGUAGUUUACUUAAAAUAGUCUUCUUCUAGACAAAUAACCUACAAAGGUUUUUUUCUCAAGAUUAUUUUUCUAGAAAUUUGUAAAAUCAAUAUUUUGUAAAGUUGCAUAAUAAAUAUACAUAUUUUUCUCUCGUAUUAUUCUGUUUAACAUUAGAACGUAUUCAAAGAUGACAAUAACAAGAUGAUUUCGAAGUGAUCUUUGACUUGCAAAAUUAAAAUUAUAUAUGAAAUUCUUUGUUUUUUUUAAUUUCAUACAAA